rnacentral:rRNA from 1 species
GAAAGUAAAAAAGGGCGCAUGGCGGAUGCCUUGGCUCUCGGAGGCGAUGAAGGACGUGAUAAGCUGCGAUAAGCUUUGGGGAGGUGCAAAUGACCUUUGAUCCAGAGAUUUCCGAAUGGGACAACCCAAUAUCUUGAAGAGGUAUUAUCUUACUAUGUAAGAGGCUAACGCAGGGAACUGAAACAUCUUAGUACCUGCAGGAAAAGAAAAUAAACAAUGAUUCCCCCAGUAGUGGCGAGCGAACGGGGAACAGCCCAAACCAUCCAUGUUACGGCAUGGGUGGGGUUGUAGGACUACGCCGUUGCAUGAAGACAUCAGAGAAGAACUUUCUGGAAAGAAAGACCAUAGAGCAUGACAGUUGCGUAUUCGAAUGUUGUCGAAGCAUAGUAGUAUCCUGAGUAGCGCGGAGCACGAGGAAUUCUGCGUGAAUCUGCCGGGACCAUCCGGUAAGGCUAAAUACUCCCGAGAGACCGAUAGCGAACCAGUACCGUGAGGGAAAGGUGAAAAGCACUUCGAACAGAAGAGUGAAAUAGUUCCUGAAACCGUGCGCCUACAAGCGGUCGGAGCUCGUUAAUGAGUGACGGCGUGCCUUUUGCAUAAUGAACCUACGAGUUGCCUUUGCCGGCAAGGUUAAGUGUGACGACACACGUAUCCGAAGCGAAAGCGAGUCUGAACAGGGCGUAUAGUCGGCAGUGGCAGACGCGAAACCAAGUGAUCUACCCUUGGCCAGGUUGAAGGCUGGGUAACACCAGCUGGAGGACCGCACCAAUAAGCGUUGAAAAGCUUCUGGAUGAGCUGAGGGUAGGGGUGAAAGGCUAAUCAAACUUGGAGAUAGCUCGUACUCCCCGAAAUGCAUUUAGGUGCAGCCUUGCGGGUUACUGAUGUGAGGUAGAGCGACUGAUAAGAUGCGAGGGCUUCACCGCCUAUCAAGUCUUGACAAACUCCGAAUGCGCAUCAGUUCUACCGCAGGAGUGAGGGCAUGGGUGCUAAGGUCCGUGCCCGAGAGGAGAAGAAUCCGGACCACCUGCUAAGGUCCCGAAAUGACAGCUAAGUUAAACUAACGAAGUCUGACUGCUAAGACAGCUAGGAUGUUGGCUUGGAAGCAGCCAUUCAUUUAAAGAGUGCGUAACAGCUCACUAGUCGAGGAGUCGGGCGUGGAUAAUAAUCGGGUAUCAAGUUGUCUACCGAAGCAGUGGGAUCAUUAAUAUGAUCGGUAGGGGAGCAUUCCAGUCAGCGUCGAAGGCGUACCGUGAGGUAUUCUGGAGCGUCUGGAAAAGCAAAUGUAGGUAUAAGUAACGAUAAAGGGGGCGGGAAACCCCCUCGCCGAAAGACUAAGGUUUCCUGAUCAACGCUAAUCGGAUCAGGGUCAGUCGGGUCCUAAGGCUCAGCCGAACGGCGAUGCCGAUGGCAGAAACGGUUAAUAUUCCGUUACUACCUUCAGGAGUGACGUGGAGACGCAGUAGUGACAGUGCCGCCAUCUGACGGAAUAGAUGGUUGAAGGGUGUAGGAGUCGAUCAUGGCAGGCAAAUCCACCAUGAGAUCCGAACCUGAUAGUAUGCCGCGUCCUUCGGGACAAGGCAAUAGUGCGCGUAAGCAUGCUGCCGAGAAAAUCCGCUAAACUUAAUCCUGCAGGUACCCGUACCGCAAACGGACACACGUAGUCGGGAUGAAUAUUCUAAGGCGCUUGAGUGAUUCACGGUUAAGGAACUAGGCAAACUGACCCUGUAACUUCGGGAUAAAGGGUCCCUACCCUUUUAUGGGAGGGCGCAGAGAAUCGGUCCAGGCAACUGUUUAACAAAAACACAGGGCUGUGCCAAAUCGAAAGAUCCAGUAUACAGCCUGACACCUGCCCGGUGCUGGAAGGUUAAGAGGAGAUGUCAUCGAUAAGAGAAGCGUUGAAUUGAAGCCCCAGUAAACGGCGGCCGUAACUAUAACGGUCCUAAGGUAGCGAAAUUCCUUGUCGGGUAAGUUCCGACCUGCACGAAUGGUGUAAUGAUCCGGACGCUGUCUCAACCAUGAGCUCAGUGAAAUUGUAGUAUCGGUGAAGAUGCCGAUUACCCGCGAUGGGACGAAAAGACCCCGUGAACCUUUACUAUAGCUUAUCAUUGAAUCUGGGCACGUGAUGUGUAGGAUAGGUCGGAGGCUUUGAAGCAGGUACGCCAGUAUUUGUGGAGCCGCUGUUGAAAUACGACCCUUUAUUUGUUUGGAUUCUAACCCGUGGAUACGGGGACAUUGAUUGGUGGGUAGUUUGACUGGGGUGGUCGCCUCCAAAAGCGUAACGGAGGCUUCUAAAGGUGCCCUCCGGCCGAUUGGUAACCGGCCUUAGAGUGUAAUGGCAUAAGGGCGCUUGACUGGGAGACUGACAAGUCGAUCAGGUAGGAAACUAGAGCAUAGUGAUCCGGUGUUUCCGUAUGGAAGGGACAUCGCUCAAAGGAUAAAAGGUACUCCGGGGAUAACAGGCUGAUCCCUCCCAAGAGCUCAUAUCGACGGAGUGGUUUGGCACCUCGAUGUCGGCUCGUCACAUCCUGGGGCUGGAGAAGGUCCCA